CCUACGGGUGGCAGCAGUGAGGAAUAUUGGUCAAUGGGCGCAAGCCUGAACCAGCCAAGUCGCGUGAGGGAUGACGGUCCUAUGGAUUGUAAACCUCUUUUGUCGGGGAGCAAGGCCCGCCACGUGUGGCGGGAAGGAGAGUACCCGAAGAAAAAGCAUCGGCUAACUCCGUGCCAGCAGCCGCGGUAAUACGGAGGAUGCGAGCGUUAUCCGGAUUUAUUGGGUUUAAAGGGUGCGUAGGCGGAAUGCCAAGUCAGCGGUAAAAUCGCGGGGCUCAACCUCGCUCCGCCGUUGAAACUGGCGUUCUUGAGUGGGCGAGAAGUAUGCGGAAUGCGUGGUGUAGCGGUGAAAUGCAUAGAUAUCACGCAGAACUCCGAUUGCGAAGGCAGCUUACCAAGCUACUUCUGACGUUGAGGCACGAAAGCGUGGGGAGCAAACAGGAUUAGAUACCCUUGUAGUC
rnacentral:rRNA from 1 species